CACGUAGGGUGCAAGCGUUGUCCGGAAUUACUGGGCGUAAAGAGCUCGUAGGCGGUUUGUCGCGUCUGCCGUGAAAGUCCGGGGCUCAACUCCGGAUCUGCGGUGGGUACGGGCAGACUAGAGUGAUGUAGGGGAGACUGGAAUUCCUGGUGUAGCGGUGAAAUGCGCAGAUAUCAGGAGGAACACCGAUGGCGAAGGCAGGUCUCUGGGCAUUAACUGACGCUGAGGAGCGAAAGCAUGGGGAGCGAACAGG
rnacentral:rRNA from 1 species